UCCCUCCAACUAUCGUAUCCCCUUUUGUAUUUAUUCCUCUCUCUAUUGAACACAUUUUGCAUACGCCUUAUCCGUUCCUACGUAGAUAAAGAUAAUCAUAUGAUUCAUACCUAUCUAAUACAAUUAUACUUCCCCUGCUCCUAGAGUAGCAGUUCAAAAACCAUUUUACCUUAAGGUAGCGUUUGGCUGGAGGUAAUUAAAAUGAAAAGAAAACAAUUUUUAUUUUAUUUUUUUGUUUGGUUGCAUUUUAAAGUAUAGGAAUAACACUCUAAUAAAAUGUUUUUUUCACUAUUUUGGUAGAAUGACUAUUCUAUUUUAAAAGAAAAGGAAAGACCAUUCUGAUGUAAGAUGAAGAAAAUUAAUGAUUUUUUUAAGAAUGUUUUUUAUACAUUUUAAAUUUUAUUCCAUUCUAUUCCUACUCUUAUUCUCAUUCUCAUUCUUAUGUUUUCAUUCCUCAACCAAACACUACUUUUAUAGUAUUUGGGCGGCUUAGAGAUAUAUAUAGGGGAAGCUGUUUCUAAGCAUAACAACUCUUCAUUGAUCGGGAACGCAGCUUGUUAAGUAAGAAAUUACAACACUUUAUUAUUAUUGAAUAGUACUAAUACAAGCUUUGAACGCAACUUUUACACUCGGACUCUAUUUCUCAAAUUUGCCCUUUGGGUACACACCAUACUUCUAUGUAUAGGCUGCAUAGGAGAUUUCUAAAUCUUUCUAGAAUUCUCUAACUUCCAAAGUUAUAAAAAGGUUUCUACCACUAUCUAAAUAAUUCUAGAACUAUCUAUAGCUAGUUUAACUAACUAUAUAUUUCUUCUAAAACUUUACAGAAUGUUCUAGGUUCUCUCCUAGUAUUUUCUUAGAGCAUUAUUAUUCUGAAAAUUUUAGAAUCGGCAACGACUUUUAACACAGCUAGCCUUCAAGCAAAUAAUGUUCACUAUUUUGAUAAUCAACUAAAAAGUUUUCGCACGAAUUAAAUCCUUUAUUUAUUUAAUUUUUUGAAAAAUACAAAGGAUUACAUUAAACUGAAAACUCACCACUCUUUCCAUUUCUUCUUCAUACUCUUCUUGCAUCCGUCGAUUGUAUUUUUUCCAAGCUUCCUCCUGAAAAGAUGAUCGGAAUGAUUUGCCUGAUCCUCCUUUCCAUGUCUGUGAUCUGCUCAACUUUUUUUUUUGUGGUGCAAUGCAAUGAUCAACAUCAACAGUAAAUUAGCUCGUGCAUUGUGCAUUUCAGACAUAAUAAAAUCACAAGAAAUGAUGAAAAUAGAUUUUCAUUGCAAACUGACAAACAAGAAAAACUCAUUCAAUGAAUCGUAAGUGCUGUUUCCUUGCUAUAACAUCCACAAAUUCAUUAUAGGCAUAAAAUAGCGCUAAAGAGAAGCCAAAGUAUUGCAAGGCUUGCCAACUCGAACUAAGUAAACACUACUUAUGGGGUCUUAAGUAUUAGUUUAUAUAAAGCAUGCAGCAAAAUUAAAAAGAUUUAAGUAUCAAAUUAACGAUUGAAAAUAUCCUUACUAGAAAGAAUAGAUGAUGCCAUUUAUACAGUGUCCAAACUCCAACGAAAAUAUUAAAGUUCAUUUAUAUAAUCAGAUUAAUGAGAACUAGAAAGUACAUUAUGUUAUGCCUACCACUACCUGAGAGUAAAACCAAUCAACAGUUCUUCGCAACUGACCAACCUGCCAAACGGGUAUAAAAAUCUAAGAACGCAAACUUAUCGCAAGUUUUCAAGAAGCAAAGAUAAAAGCUUUGUUCAUUUCCCCACCAUAUUACAAAUGAAAAUUAAAUUCUGUCUUUUUCUCCUUAGCUUAAACGAAUAAAUACACAAAUUGAGCCGAUAAAAGUGUCAAAGUGUUUAUAAUUAUAUACACACUUACCGCGAACGUGGUGACGGUGGCGCCAAUUAAUCCGAAGAGGAAAACUCCCCAAAGUUUCAUGUCCUCUUUUUGGGACGGGUUGUUUGGAGACGACGGCCAAGGAUUAUCGUUUCUAUCUUUACCAUCCCCCUCCUUCAUCUUCCCCGAUCGAAAUUUGAAGUAUCAAUUAAAAUAUUACAGUUGGGAGAUGGUAAAGUAUCACUAGGGUUUAUCUUGUCCCACUGAUUUGGGAUUUCUUUUUCCUGAAACCGACUUAUGGAGCUGGCUGGAAGAGACAGAGAUUAUCGUAAUGUAGAUGGGGUGUUUCAGCUUAAUUUCAUCGUAC